rnacentral:lncRNA from 1 species
GUAGAUCCUAGUGCCUUGCAUGCCGGGGAACGCAGUCCAGUGGUGAGGCCUCGGUGCUUUGCAUGCUGGGAUAUGUAGUCCGGUCCGCGGUGCGUGCGGCGAUCCGGCUUUGUCUUAAGGGCUCUGAAAAAAAAGGCCCAGCUGGUCGCUGCUGAUUCGCGCACUUUCUCGGGUUAAGCUUAGGUUCCAUGAAGACACAGAGAAAGCAGAGGCGGAUGCCGCAUGCCCCUGCUCUCAAUUCUCAGAAAUUUUAGGUCGUUCGAUGAAAACCAACCCUGCUGGAACGACUGCUCCUGGUUAAGAGCACUGGCUGCUCUUGCAGAGGACCUAGGUUUCCGUUCCGUUCCUACUUGGAACCUACUUGGCAGCGCACAGACACCGGUAACUCCAGAUCUAGGGGAUCCAGCGCCCUCCUCUGGCUUUGAUGGGCACUGCAUGCAGUAAUAUAUAUCGCUGUAUUAUAAUGAACUGAGAGAAAAUCAGAAUGGGUGGGGAAACUGCAGGGAGCCGAGCAAGACUUACAAAAAGGUAGGCCUAAAAUUAUAGGGCGCUUUGGGGUUGGAGAGAUAGCUCAGCUGUGAGACCCACUGACUUCUGCCCCAGCACCCAGCUCACAACC